rnacentral:rRNA from 1 species
AACGAACGCUGGCGGCAGGCCUAACACAUGCAAGUCGAGCGAAGCCUUCGGGCUUAGCGGCGGACGGGUGGGUAACGCGUGGGAACGUGCCCUUUGGUAUGGAAUAGCCCCGGGAAACUGGGAGUAAUACCGUAUGUGGUCGAGAGACGAAAGAUUUAUCGCCAAAGGAUCGGCCCGCGUUGGAUUAGGUAGUUGGUGGGGUAAUGGCCUACCAAGCCGACGAUCCAUAGCUGGUUUGAGAGGAUGAUCAGCCACACUGGGACUGAGACACGGCCCAGACUCCUACGGGAGGCAGCAGUGGGGAAUCUUAGACAAUGGGGGAAACCCUGAUCUAGCCAUGCCGCGUGAUCGAUGAAGGCCUUAGGGUUGUAAAGAUCUUUCAGUGGGGAAGAUAAUGGCUGUACCCACAGAAGAAGCCCCGGCUAACUCCGUGCCAGCCGCCGCCGUAAUAC